rnacentral:lncRNA from 1 species
AAGCCUGAGAAUUUGGGUCUCUUAGGGUUGGAUGGAGCACACAGCCUUUGCAGCUUUGCAGAACAGUUGCUCAGUUUCACACAUCCCCACCUCCUCCCCUGCACGUGUACACCUCCCCUAGGGCGCUCGCCCAGUGCGCUUCUCCCUUCCCCAAGGGAGGCCCAACUACUGACCAAUAUAAUCCCCUUUCCUUGCCUCGUCCCCCCGCCCCCGCUCCUCUCUCUCUCUCUCUCUAACCCUAUGGAGCCAAAAUGAGUCUUCAGCUUCUGUAGUUGCUAUAAGGUUGAACAGGUUAUGGCAUCACCAGGGACUCUCAGAACCAGGGUUUCUGUAGGGCUCUCACACGGGUCCUGGCUCCCUGAGACGCCCCCCCAUCCUCCCGCAGCGACCCAAGGCGGUCACUGCACACUGCACGGCACGACCAUCCGGAGGUCUCCAAUGCACAAGCAGCUUAAUUGCUCUCUCAGUGCUAAGAAACAGGCUUGCACCAAGCCAACUGACGCCCGCUGGGACCAGUUCCUGCCAGGCUCUCUGGGUAACCUAGGGACCUGUGUGGCGGGGGCGCAGCACCGACCUACGAAAUGCUGGUAAUCUGACAGAGGGAGAAACCCCACAGUUCUGCGGCUCCACUGCCAACAGUUGAGAGCUUUUGAUGUUUUGCAACCUCACAGCUUCGCAAGGCUUUCUGGUUUGGGUUUGUUUUUCCACCUCCCUUCCUUUUGGCUCUCUAGUGUAAGCCGCUUUUAAAAUGUGGGCGCAGUGAAAUUUCCGAAGAGCAAUGGAGGUGUCAUCCAGACGGAAAUAAGUGGAAGGGACCUCUAUCAGGAAGGAUCUCUAACUCAGACUUCCCUGUCGGUUUUCUAUCCUGUGCUGUUUUAAGGGUUAACUUCUCUUAAAAUCAUUUUUGGAUCAAAGCCAACUGUGUUUAAUUAAAUAAAUACAUACACGCCAUUUGUGG